rnacentral:rRNA from 1 species
CCUACGGGAGGCAGCAGUGAGGAAUAUUGGUCAAUGGGCGGAAGCCUGAACCAGCCAAGUCGCGUGAGGGAUUAAGGCCCUGCGGGUCGUAAACCUCUUUUGCCGGGGAGCAGUGGUCCGGACGUGUCCGGGCCGGGAGAGUACCCGGAGAAAAAGCAUCGGCUAACUCCGUGCCAGCAGCCGCGGUAAUACGGAGGAUGCGAGCGUUAUCCGGAUUUAUUGGGUUUAAAGGGUGCGUAGGCGGGCAUUUAAGCCGGCGGUAACAUGUCGGGGCUCAACCCCGGCCUGCCGUCGGAACUGGGUGCCUUGAGUGGGCGAGAAGUAUGCGGAAUGCGGGGUGUAGCGGUGAAAUGCAUAGAUAUCACGCAGAACCCCGAUUGCGAAGGCAGCAUACCGGCGCCCUACUGACGCUGAGGCACGAAAGUGUGGGUAUCGAACAGGAUUAGAUACCCUUGUAGUC